rnacentral:rRNA from 1 species
AUUGAACGCUGGCGGCAGGCUUAACACAUGCAAGUCGAGCGGAGAGAGGUAGCUUGCUACUGAUCUUAGCGGCGGACGGGUGAGUAAUGCUUAGGAAUCUGCCUAUUAGUGGGGGACAACAUUUCGAAAGGGAUGCUAAUACCGCAUACGUCCUACGGGAGAAAGCAGGGGAUCUUCGGACCUUGCGCUAAUAGAUGAGCCUAAGUCGGAUUAGCUAGUUGGUGGGGUAAAGGCCUACCAAGGCGACGAUCUGUAGCGGGUCUGAGAGGAUGAUCCGCCAAACUGGGACUGAGACACGGCCCAGACUCCAACGGGAGGCAGCAGUGGGGAAUAUUGGACAAUGGGCGGAAGCCUGAUCCAGCCAUGCCGCGUGUGUGAAGAAGGCCUUAUGGUUGUAAAGCACUUUAAGCGAGGAGGAGGCUACUUUAGUUAAUACCUAGAGAUAGUGGACGUUACUCGCAGAAUAAGCACCGGCUAACUCUGUGCCAGCAGCCGCCGUAA